GAUCUUCAGGGCAGGGUGCAAUUCCCUACCGGCGGUACAGCCCGCGAGCCAUAUGGCAGAUCCGGUGAAACUCCGGGGCCGACAGUAAAGUCUGGAUGAAAGAAGAU
rnacentral:ncRNA from 1 species